AACAAAGAAGUAAAAAUUACAUUUAGCUUCGACCUAAAAUUAGGAUUAAAUUUAUUCCCAUGUUU
rnacentral:tRNA from 1 species